UUAAAUGCCAUGACAGGGAAGAGUAUGCAUAGUAUUAUUCAAAAGAGAGCAGGAGAAGCUGAAAACCUGUGGAUACCUAUUAUGUUGAAAAUCACCCUAGAGCUGCAGGCUGAAGUUAGUAAGCUGUGCCGGUCUAUUGAUCGUUAUCUUACAAGAAAAUUUUUGGGUGGUACCGCGAACAGACACUCGCCCCAGGG
rnacentral:ncRNA from 1 species